rnacentral:rRNA from 1 species
CCUACGGGUGGCAGCAGUGGGGAAUAUUGCGCAAUGGGCGAAAGCCUGACGCAGCGACGCCGCGUGAGGGAUGAAGGUCUUCGGAUCGUAAACCUCUGUCAGCAGGGAAGAACGGUCACUGUGCUAAUCAGCAGUGAAUUGACGGUACCUGCAAAGGAAGCACCGGCUAACUCCGUGCCAGCAGCCGCGGUAAUACGGAGGGUGCGAGCGUUAAUCGGAAUUACUGGGCGUAAAGCGCUCGUAGGCGGUAUGUCAAGUCAAGGGUGAAAGCCCCGGGCUCAACGGGGGAACUGCAUUGGAAACGGGGAAACUGGAGUGUGUGAGAGGAUAGUGGAAUUCCAGGUGUAGGAGUGAAAUCCGUAGAUAUCUGGAGGAACAUCAGUGGCGAAGGCGACUAUCUGGCACAUAACUGACGCUGAGGAGCGAAAGCGUGGGUAGCAAACAGGAUUAGAUACCCCUGUAGUC